CUUCCAGUAGCACCCUAGAGACCAACUAAGUUUGUUAUCGGUAUGAGCUUUCGUGUGCAUGCACACUUCUUCAGAUACCAGAAGUGUGAAUGGACACGAAAACUCAUACCAAUAACAAACUUAGUUGGUCUCUAAGGUGCUACUGGAAG